GCUGCUCGCGUUGCUUCGCGGCGAGUGGCCUUGGCGGUGUGAGAGGCGUGGCUGCUUUUCCCGGGGGCUGUGUCUAACUGCACGCUGUUCAUUGAAGAAUGCACACGUCGUAACUGCCUUGGGCUUUGUGCUUCUCUAGCCUUAACUCUCUGACUGACUGCAGUUUGACUCAGGAGCGACUGGGAGGUUUGUCCUAGGCUCAACUGUAGGCCAGUCUCCCGCCAGGUUCCUGGUGCUUUCGGGUGGGAAGGAAGUCUGGAGUAGCUACAAGUUUGUUAGAAAAUUUUCCUGAAGUCAUCAUUUGGCACUGGGUAAGUCAUUGAUUGCAAUUCAUUGUCUGAAAUAAAAUAAGUCAAUUGUUUAAGAAUA